GCAUCUCGUUGGUAUUGUCUCUUUUUUGUUCUUUACGUGCUGUUGGGAGUUUACUUCGUUACAAACUUGAUUCUUGCUGUUGUAUACGAUAGCUUUAAAAGUCAGCUUGCUAAACAAAUUUCCGAGAUGGACCGCUUGAGGAAAAGUAUAUUGGCCAAAGCUUUUGGUCUUAUGGAUACUAAUAACGUUGGGUUUAUCAAUAAAGAGCAAUGCCUUGCACUUUUAGAAGAACUUAACAGAUACAGGUCUUUGCCGAAAGUAUCAAGGGAUGAUUAUGAGUUAAUAUUUGAUGAGCUGGAUGACAGUCGUGAUUUUAAGGUACAUUAGUUCCUCAAAAUUGUUAAACUAAAUAAUUUUUUUGGAUUCUUGUUCUCGAAAUAACUUAUAUUCAUCCUUACAAGUUACAACCUAGCUAGUAUUGGAUGAGGGUGGUAGUGAUAAGUUAAGGCACAUUAGUUACUUGAAUUUGUGAAAGUGUGUCGGUACGGGACCUUGAACGCAAUUUUAUUUGUUUAUUAUUUAAAAAAAAAAAAAAAAACAAAAACAAAAACUUCUAUUGAUAUGGUAAAAAGUUGCAUACAAAAACCUAUUCUCUGAAGGAGCUUACGAAAAGACUCCCAUAUUAAGGUUAAAUACAAA